AUCUCUGAAGGCAGCUUUUUUUUUUUUUUUCCCUCCCCAGGAAAAAAGGAUGUGACACAUUUUUAUUCAGGAAUCAUUUUGGUGUUCUCACAUGGACAGGAAGGUGAUGUGAAAUUUAAUUCUUUAUAUAGUCAAAUAAGGCAGAGCAUUUUAUCAGUAGGACAAGCUCUGGAAAUGUCAUGAAGCUUGUUCUGCUCUCUAGAGAGGCUGUGGUUUCUAUUGAACUUCUGCCUUUGCCACCGCCCUGUUUUGUCUUGAUACCAAAUGCAGCAGUAGGUGGAAUGGGAGGGACUGUGCACAUGGAUGGCUGUCCCUGAAAUGCAUGUGUUGCAUCAUGUAUUGCUCAUUGGGUAAGGAUUAUCCCUGAGGCUUGCUGGUAUUUGAGAAAAAAAUAUAACUGACUUGAAAUUUGUUGUCCUCUCUGUUCCUCCAAGAAAAACC
rnacentral:lncRNA from 12 species